UGGGGAAUUUUGGACAAUGGGCGAAAGCCUGAUCCAGCAAUGCCGCGUGUGUGAAGAAGGCCUUCGGGUUGUAAAGCACUUUUGUCCGGAAAGAAAUCCUUGGCUCUAAUACAGUCGGGGGAUGACGGUACCGGAAGAAUAAGCACCGGCUAACUACGUGCCAGCAGCCGCGGUAAUACGUAGGGUGCAAGCGUUAAUCGGAAUUACUGGGCGCAAAGCGUGCGCAGGCGGUUUGCUAAGACCGAUGUGAAAUCCCCGGGCUCAACCUGGGAACUGCAUUGGUGACUGGCAGGCUAGAGUAUGGCAGAGGGGGGUAGAAUUCCACGUGUAGCAGUGAAAUGCGUAGAGAUGUGGAGGAAUACCGAUGGCGAAGGCAGCCCCCUGGGCCAAUACUGACGCUCAUGCACGAAAGCGUGGGGGAGCAAACAGGAUUAGAUACCCUGGUAGUCCACGCCCUAAAACGAUGUCAACUAGUUGUUGGGGAUUCAUUUCCUUAGUAACGUAGCUAACGCGUGAAGUUGACCGCCUGGGGAGUACGGUCGCAAGAUUAAAACUCAAAUGAAUUGACGGGGUCAUAGCUGUUUCCU
rnacentral:rRNA from 1 species